rnacentral:rRNA from 1 species
CUACGGGGUGCUGCAGUGGGGAAUAUUGGACAAUGGGGGAAACCCUGAUCCAGCAAUGCCGCGUGUGUGAAGAAGGCCUGCGGGUUGUAAAGCACUUUCGGUUGGGAGGACUGCUUCUAGCACUAAUAUUGUUGGAAGUUGACGUUACCUUCAGAAGAAGCACCGGCUGAACUCCGUGCCAGCAGCCGCGGUAAUACGGAGGGUGCAAGCGUUAAUCGGAAUUACUGGGCGUAAAGCGCGCGUAGGCGGCUAGAUCAGUCGGGUGUGAAAGCCCCGGGCUUAACCUGGGAACUGCAUCCGAUACUGUCUAGCUUGAGUACAGGAGAGGAGAGUGGAAUUCCACGUGUAGCGGUGAAAUGCGUAGAUAUGUGGAGGAACACCAAUGGCGAAGGCAGCUCUCUGGCCUGAUACUGACGCUGAGGUGCGAAAGCGCGGGGAGCAAACAGGAUUAGAUACCCCGGUAGUC